AGUAGCAGCCAAUUUUCUAACAACCUCCAGACCAUCCCUCCUCAGGAAAAAUCUGUGGUGAGGGGUUGGGGUGGAAUUCAAUGAAGUUCACUUUGCAGAAAUCCACUGGCUCUGAGUUUCAUGUAUGCACUAUCACUACUGUUAAGUAUUGCUGUACAUGGCAGAGUGAAGGAUGAGCUAGGUCUGGCUUGUUGAUUUAAGGACCUGAUGCUGCAAGGCCUCCUUCACCUAUUGAAGUCAAAGGGAGUUCUAUGCACGGGUGGCUUGCAGAAGCAUGACCCGAGUGAUGCAGACAAUGAAGUGGCUUGCAUUUGGCGUGGGACAAAGUCCAACAACAAACAGAAGAAUGCCUAUUCCCUGGAGUUGCCUCCUUAGGCUGUGACUUUAUGGCAGUGAUAAUGUGAUGAUGCUGAAGAAGACAGUGUCACUGGAAGGGCAGAUGCUCAAUGAGGUGGAAAGAUAAACUGAGGAGUCAGACAUCUGUGAUUUCAAAACCCAGUGAAGGUGACAGAAGCAGCCCAGUAUAUUUCACUGCGUUGCAAAUGUCUGACAUAUUUAUUAGUUGCAAAACUGCAGUUUUGAUCCUGUCCUCCUUACUCAGGCAAAACUGGCACUCACGUCUCAGCUCAAAAUACCAACUUUCCCCUAUUUAUUUUCCCAAGACUUGCAUCUUGUUUCAAUACAAAACUGAAAGUUGGCCCAGGUUCCUUCCCAUACUUGCUAUCUACCUAGGAAUUUACACUACGGUAGCUCAGCAGUUAGGCCUAGGAUCACACAUUAGUAUUUUCACUCAAAUAUUGGUCACUAGUCUUCAGAGAAGCCAGGGCAUGAACUGGAGCCUGAGUGGUGACAGAAGCUCUUCCCAUCGGUUCCCUAUAACAAAGGCCCUUCCAUCAGCCCCAGCAAGAGCCUAUACGGCCUUCCACUCUUGAUGUUACAUACUUGUGUCUUCAUUCUGCCCUCUAUGCCCUAUGUGUCGUCAUGCCUGGCUUGUGCCCUCCUGCUUCUUCCCUUCACCUUUUUAUCUUCUUCCAUUUUUCUUCCAGUUGCUUGCACCCUUCCCUUACCGCCUCCUCCUCCUUGCUCCCGUCCUGCCCAAACCUCUCUUUGUAUCAUGUGCACCUAUCCCCGUUUUCUAUCAUACAAAUGCAACUUAAAAUACCAUUAAACCUUUAAUGAAAAAUCCCCCACAGCCAGAAAACACAGCCUUCGGCAGAACCUCAAGCCAUCAAAUUAUCUUCUCUUUGUGUCUCUCAUCCCUUCCACGCUCUUCCACCCUCCCUGGGUUUUGCCUUCCUUUGUCCUGAUUUAUAUGGUAGAGACUGGAGCCAUCCAUUCCAGGGACUCUCCCCUGCUUCACCCCUUGUGUCGCCAUUUACACCUGUGUAAUGUGCAUGUAAAAUGCUAGCAAAUCCGAAUUCUCUAAUCUUCGACACUGGUGUCAUUAUUUACACUUGCUUUACUCAGGCAUGAAUGAUGACCCAAAGUGCAAGGCAGGGGAAAAUUAGGCCCUACUUGCCUUGGAAGCACCUAAUGUACUUUUGUGUGUGUAACAGGGUGGAGUGCCCUGUGGGCUGCAGAGUCUGGAGCUAUGCUAACCUGAUUGCACAAUGAGCGCCACCUGAGGGGAAUCAGGAACAUUCCCCAUAAAGAGCCAAAAGUGGCUCUAAUGAUUAGAAUGAGAGGCAGGUUUGACUGGUGAUAAAGCCCAGCUGGUGAAAGGGCUGGAGAGAGACCCUGGCAAAAGGAGGGAAAGCUCAGAGCGUAAGGAAAGCUCUUCAGGCAGGAAGGCCUGGGAGAGAACCUGAUUAAACAGGGAAGAGACAGACACCCAGAGGAGAAUUUAAGAGGCUGGGCAGGUAGUGGCCUAGGGAUAAUUGCGUCACAGGGAAAAGAGCAGACCUAGCUGUUGAGAGUACAGGGCCCUGGACCAAAAUCCAGCGUAGGGGUUAUUAACCCUAGCAAGGGAGCUUCAGGUUGAGCUGAAGACAGGCUGAAGAAGAGCCUCAGAGCAGAGGAAGGAUUUUUUAGUUUAUAUUUAAAUACAUUUUGGGGACUUUCAGGUUAGGCAAUUGACUCUGGAAGGGGUGGACUUAAGAUGGUGACCCGACCAAAGGACUGAGGCUCUCUAAGAACUGUAGGAGCAACCAUCAGUAGGGGGCACUAGCCUAGCGAGAGCUGCUACUCCAUGCCUGGCCGUGAGGAGGUGCUUAGUGGAAAAACUCUAUCUCUUCAUGAAGUAUAAAAACGCACUUUAAUGCAUGUCCCCUAGAAAGCCAUCAGACUUGAGUGUGGAAAAGCAGAACUUUGUAUUCACCACCCAUGUCGUUGCAGAGCACUCGAAAGAGACGACUAUUCACAACAUAUGCCUUAAUGAAGUUCACUGCUCACUACAUCAUUAAGAUACAUUGACAAUGUACUUUACAGCUAGGACUUGAUGAUGGAUUCCACAAUGAGUGACAAUCACAUUAGGUGACACGCACUUUACCUUCUUCUGAAAGCCAGACUGUGCACCCAUCAAAGCUGGAGCACCAUCAGUACAUAUACCACAAACAUUUUUCCAGUUAAUGCCAUUGCUUUUGAAAAAGGCAUUCAUCUUAUUGAAAAUAUCCUGUGCUGUUAUGGUUGUUUUUAAGUUGUUCACAGAAUAAGAAUUCAUCAUUAACAUCCCCUGCAUUAACAUACUGUAUGAACUAUCAAUUGUACGCAAUUAGUAACAUCAGUAGUUUCAUCAAGUUGCUGGCUGAACAUACUAAAAGCAGAAUGUUUAAUUUCAUGCACAGCUUGUUCUUUGAUAUCUUCAGACAUCUCACAUAUCCUGCAUUUCACAGUAUCAUUCAUAUAGAAAACAUAUUAAGCUUUUUGGCAGUAUCAUUGCCAAACAUAAGCGACACAAUAUCUUUGCAUGCUGGCAGAACAAGCUUCUCACCUAUCAUAUGUGGGUUCUUGGCAUGAAUGAUUCGUAGAGACACAACAUAAGAGGCUUCCACAGCUGAGGACAUUUGCUGUCAGAAACUUCCACCUGCAUGAAGCCUGGCUUUCUUGGCCACUUCUUCUCUACGUUUGAAAAAAAUCCACGUUUUGAUGUUUAUGCUCAGGAUGUCUAGUUUCAAGAUGUUGCUGCAGUUUGCAUGGUUUCAUUGAUUCAGCAGACAAAACUUCGCAGCAAAUGAUGCAUUGUGGAUUUUCAAUAACUGAGAGGCAUGGCCCUGGCUAUCUUGUAAUGUAAAACCGCGGACUUCCAUUCCUUCUGACAUCCAUCAUGGCGAGUGGGUCAUCUGGAUUGACCACAUCAUUUGGAUUGAUUCUCAUGGGUUCUCUAGGCAGACUUAGUCCUUGUCUACACUUACCGGGGGUUCGACGCAUGACUAUUGAUGCAUCGGUGGUCGAUUUAGCAGGUCAGAUCGCUCUCCCGUCGACUUCUGUACUCCACCUGAACGAGAAGUCGACGAGAGAGCAUCUCCAGUUGACAUCGCGUAGUGUGGAACCUGUGAUUACGCAACAAAUGAAUCAGAUAGCACAAUCCUGGACAACAAAAUAUAUAUUUUUUCAAGCUUUCCGGAAGAAAUACUGGGUCUUCAUUGUAAUUUAUCUGCCUACACAGGCUGUCUGUCACAUGUAAG